GCCCAGGCUUUUCUUUCCUCUUCUUACUGGCAGGAAGAAUUUCUGGAAGCACGGCUGAACCAGUGACAAUGAAGCAGGAUGCCCGUCACCCUUACCAGCCUGGCCGCACAGGGAGAGCACACCCACCCCCCACCCCCCCAGGGCUGGGGCUCACAGAGGUAAGCCUCCUUGCCUGCUCGGCCCCACCUCGGGCUCUAGGAACAGGACAGGCCCCUGCCCAGGGCUGGAAAGCAGGGGCAGGCGCCCUGGAGCGUCUCUCCAGAGGCCAAAUCCCACGGAAUUUCCUGAGGGGAGGGGACCGAGUAUUCCGGAAUGAGAGCCAGCUGUGGAAUUGAGGCCUGGGAGUGAGGAGCCGGGCUCAGGGCUUCCUGGCUGAGUCAGCGGACCGUCCCCAGCUUUGCUCCCUUGCCUGGAGUCUGCAAAAGCCACAAGCCAGAGGGAGGAGCCAGAAGAUGGAUAUAAGGCUGCAGAAGGGGAGAAGCCUCUGGCCGGCCCUGGGGGCUCAGGAAGAUAGAGGAGGCCAGGCUGGAAAGGCCCUUUCUCCUCAGACCUGGUGCACUGUCGCCACCAGCGCCUUCUAGAGGAAGCAUCCACAGGAGCCCAGGACUCUACUUUGAUUCUCCAGCCACAAACCCCUGCAGGCCUGGCUGGCCAGAGGCGUGCCUGUGCAUCCCGGGAAGCAAGCGCCUGGGGACUCAGGGCCGGAGAGGCUGUGAGGAUGGCUUUGUGCGGCCGUUCAGAUUUUAUCUCUUCAGGAUUCCAGAGCACAAGACAAAUGGCUUCAUGUCCGGCAAGGAGGUGUAAUUCAUCCUCUGAGCAGAGCAAGUCUAAGAAACCUGGGAAGACGUACCAGAUGGUGUUACUAAACCCAGAGGGAAGAAAACAGGAACAGAAACGCAGUGCCUGGAAGAACUAUGAAACCACCAGUUUUCUCCACGCAAGGGUGUGCAGUCCCACCUCCCCUCUCAGGUGGGACCCACAAUGACAUAGAGGGAGAGAACGCUAGUCCUCGGUCCAGGCGCCCCCAAGCCACAGUACUCAUUUCAGAGGACUUAACGCCUUACACACAUAAAGGCUCCCAGGAGCUAAGAAGCUUCCAGACUUGAAAAGUAAAUGAAUUUACUUGGUAUGCCCAAGUUUUUCUUAACAUCAUUGCACCCACUAUCUGCCCAAAUGAAGGCAUGAUAGGGAAUCAGUGGAUUAUUAAAAAUCACUGAUCACAUUGAAAAAUGGGUGGCUCAGGGGCGCCUGGGUGGCUCAGUCGUUAAGCGUCUGCCUUCGGCUCAGGUCAUGCUUCCAGGUCCUGGGAUCAAGGCCCGCAUCGGGCUCCCUGCUCAGCGGGAAGCCUGCUUCUCCCUCUCCCACUCCCCCUGCUUGUGUUCCCUCUCUCGCUCUGUCUCUCUGUCAAAUAAAUAAAUAAAAUCUUAAAAAAAUAAAAAAUAAAAAUAAAUAAAAAAUAAAAAAUAGGUGGCUCAGUCAGUUGAGCAUCUGCCUCUUGAUCUCAGCUCAGGUCUUGAUCUCAAGGUUGUGAGCUCAAGCCCUGAGUUGGGCUCCAUUCGGGGUGUGGAGCCUACUUAAAAAAAAAAAAUUAGCAUUUAAAAUUGUAAUAUGAAUACAGAUUCAUCAUAAAAACUACUUGAAAAUUUAAAAAAAUGAAAAUAUCCCAUAAUCAUCACACUGAAUGGAGAUAAACAUUAUUGGUGUAUAUACACAUUUCAAUAAAAUCAGGAAAAUAUUGUGUGUAUAUGUGAUAUACACACAUAUACACACAUAAAAUUCUGAUUUUAUAUAUGGAUAUAAGGUCAUUUACACACACAUAUAUAAAAUUCUUUUUUCCAUUUAAAAUGCAUCAUAAGAAUUUUCCUGGAUCUUUGAAAAUAAAUUUUAAAUGGCUGCAUGCUAUCCCAUUGCAUGGCACACUGAUUCUUAAGCAAAUCUCCUAUUGAUACCUAAGCUAUUUCCAAAUCGUUGGCUAUUAUAAAGAAUAAUUCAAUAACAUCAUUGCACGUAUAUCUUUGUAUACAUCUCUGAUUAUUUCUUUAGGACACAUUUCUAGGAAUAGAAUUACCAAGUCAGGGACAUGAAUGUCUACAAGGUUCUUGGUGUCUCCAAUCAAUGCAUACUUGUUAAAUUGUAUGGAUUUGAACAAAGUAGUAAAAAACUCCAGAGCAGCACUCUACCAUGUUCGCUGCAUGUUCUCAGACCCACAAAAGGUUCCAGGGGGCCAGGUGAAGCCCCUCCAUCCAGCCUGUGGGACUGUCCUUUGGAACCCGGGCAGAGGCCAAAGCCAGCAGUCCUUGGUGCUCCUUGGCUGGGCCCCGCCCCUGUUGCUGCCACAGGGCUACUUCCCUCAGCUUCUCAGAAACACCCUAAAUCCCGCUCAGAAGCCCCUCUGUGAGGAUUUCCUUCCAGCCCAUUGCCGUGGCCCCCUGGGGAGUAUACAGGGUAGGGGUCACGGUCACCCACACCCUCUUCAGACAGGGCAUCUGAGGCCUAGAAGCCAGCAGGAUGCGAGAGUUAGGACAGGACCGGGGAUUCAGAGACAAGGCUCUAGGUCUCACUCUACCAGUCAGUGUUGCCAAACCACAGAGGGGCGCGUCCCGUGGGAAAGUGGCCCAACACAACUGGAGGCAGAGGCCCUGCGAGGAGGCUGGGAUCCACUGGAGUCAUUUUCAACAAAUAUCUAUUGAGCAUCUAUCAUGUAUAGUCACUGAGAAAAUAGCGGGAACCCAAGAGGCAAAGCUCCUGCCCUCAAGAAACAGCAUGCUAGUGGGGGAAACAGGUAAUAAACCCCAAGAAUCGUGUCCAAUGGGGUUUAAAUGCUGAGAAGAAAACAAAGCAGGGACAAGUGGAUAGAAAGUGACACAGAGGGGUGGGUUACCUUGAGGUAGGAUAAUUCACAUAGGUCUCUCUGGGUUGAUACUUAAGCAAAAGCCUGAGGGAACAGAAGGAAUAAGCUCUGUGAGUUAUCUGGAGGAAGCCCUUCAAGGCCAAGGGAACAGCAAGUACAAAGGUCCUGAGGCAGGAGCAAAACUGGUAUGUUUGGGUAGACGUCAGAAGCUGAUAUGGCUGGAACAGAGUGAAUAAGGGACAGUGUAGGGACUGAGGUCACAGAGCUAGCACCAUCCCCAUUAGAUGCGGGAGCUCCCACUGAGCCACAGGCAUCAAGCAGGACACAGUCACCUGUUGUCAAGAACCUUUAAGGUUAGGGCGCCUGGGUGGCUCAGUUGGUUAAGCGACUGCCUUCGGCUCAGGUCAUGAUCCUGGAGUCCCGGGAUCGAGUCCCGCAUCGGGCUCCCUGCUCAUCGGGGAGUCUGCUUCUCCCUCUGACCCUCCCCCCUCUCAUGUACUCGCUCUCUCUCAUUCUCUCUCUCUCAAAUAAAUAAAUAAAAUCUUUAGUAUAUGUGCUGCCGAAGCGAGCACAAUCAAUAAAAUCUUUAAAAAAAAAAAAAAAAAAGAACCUUUAAGUUUAGGGGACCUUGCUGUGGCAGAAGACAAGAGAAUAGCAGAGGACCGGGGCAGGCUUUUAUCACCUGAUCAGGUGUUUAUAGCAAGGCUGUGAAGAAGGAGGGUAUGAUCUAGAGCUCUGUCCCACCGUGCUGGGUGCCAAGUGUCCAAGGUGGACCAGGCCACAGAGCUGCCUCCUAGAAGCUCACAACCCCAUGGGGCCAACAGGUGGGCGGGGCUAACAAGCUGGCAAGGAAAUCCUGUCAUUUGUGACCACACAGCUCAACCUGGAGGACAUCAUGCUAAGUAAAAUAAGUGAGGCCGAGGAAGACAUGCCCAAUCCGCAUGAUCUUACUUAGGUGUAAAAUCUAAAAAAGUCCAACUCAUAGAAGCAGAGAGUGGGAUGAGUGGGAUGGAGGUUGCCAAAGGCUGGGGGGUGAGGGAAAUGGAGAGAUGCUGGUCAGUGCACAAACGUUCAGUUAGAAGGUGAAUAGGUUCUGGAGAUCUAACAUACAGCAUGGUGACUACAGCUAAUAAUUCUAUAUGACGUGUACUUAAAAUUUGCUAAGAGAGGAGACCUCAAUUGUUUUCACACACACCCAAAAAGGAGACUGUGUGAAGUGAUGGAUAUGUUAAUUAGCUUUGUUGUGAUCAUUUCACAGUGGUCAUGAUCUUGGGGUCUGCGAGAUGGAGCUGCAUGUUGGGCUCCAAGCUCAGCGAGGAGUCUGCUAAAGUUUCCCCCUCUCCCUCCGCCCCUCCCCGUGCUCUCUCUCUCUCAAAUAAGUAAAUAAAUCUUUAAAUAAAUAAAUAAUAAAAUUAAUAAAAGCUGGUUACACAACAUCUUGUGAAAAAUAAGUGCUACACAGGAACUUUCUGUACUUUAAGCUUAAUUUUGCUGUGAACCUAAACCCACUCUAAAAAAUAAAAUUCAUUAAUCGAAAACAAAAUAAAACUGUAAAAACCAAGCAUAUGGCAUGACUGACUGAGAAGACUUCCUGGAGGAGGUGAUGUCUGAGCUGGGCCUUGAAAAAUGAACAAGUGGACCAGAUGUCAGCAGGCAGGGAAGGUGAGAAAUGCACUUCAGAGAGAAAUACUGGUUUGCUGAGGAGGGAGCAGGGGCACCCUCUGGCAACUGGAUAUUGGGGUGUGGCCUUGAUUUGGGAUUAUCACUGGGACAGGACCAGCCCUGGAAAGCAGACAGUGAAAAGAGAAGAGGGUUGAAGAGAUAACGCUGGGGCAUACAGCCUCACUGUUGGUGGGGUAGGGGGGCACUGGGGAAGGGCUGAGGGAGACAAGAGGGGGGUGAGAGGAGACAACACACAUAGGAAAUUUGAACUAGAAGGAGGGGAGGACAGAUGCAUCUAGAGGAAGACUCAGCCUGGCUGGAGACAAGUUGCUUUUAGGAUUUUAUUUUUGUCUAAUCCUGUUGUGUCUCCUUCCCUCCCUUCUCCCUCAAGCCCAACAGGGAGAUUAGAAACAUAAUCUAUAUUGUCGAUUCUAUAAAGUAUUGCUUCCCCUCACCCCUGACACCCACCCGCCCCAGCGCUUUGCAAGCUAUGCGAGUCCAAAUCCACAUUUUUAAAAGAUUGGUUCUCAUUGUAUUUCCUAUGGCCGGCUCUCCUUUAAUCACAAAACAGAGCUUAUUGUAUGAUUAAUUAUUCGAGUUCAGAUAGUGAUGCCCAGGUUAGAAAGGUAAAGAUUUCGUUCUCACCCUCCUCUUCCACUCAACCCGUUCUGAAAAGUUUCCUUGUUGUGCAACUGAUUUUAGCUCUUCUACUGCUUUUAUGUGUAACUUCAUUUUU